rnacentral:snoRNA from 13 species
CCCCCCUCAGCUUCGCACCUGGAGAGUUUCCAGUACUCUACCAGUCUCGGCUAGGGGAGGGAGAGUGAAGCAGAGGCCUACCCAUUCCAUUCCCAGCUUGGUCCAGUGGCUGGCGAGUGAAGACAAUCUGCUACAGGU